rnacentral:misc_RNA from 1 species
GAUGAAGAACGUAGCGAAAUGCGAUAAGUAGUGUGAAUUGCAGAAUUCAGUGAAUCAUCGAAUCUUUGAACGCACAUUGCGCCCCUUGGUAUCCCGAGGGGCAUGCCUGUUCGAGCGUCAUUUCACCACUCAAGCCUGGCUUGGUGUUGGGCGACGUCCCCUUUGGGGACGCGCCUCGAAACGCUCGGCGGCGUGGCACCGGCUUUAAGCGUAGCAGAAUCUUUCGCUUUGGAAGUCGGGGCCCCGUCUGCCGGAAGACCUACUCGCAAGGUUGACCUCGGAUCAGGCAGGGAUACCCGCUGAACUUAAGCAUAUCAAUAAGCGGAGUA